rnacentral:tRNA from 1 species
GGCUGUGGUUCAGUGGUAGAGCACUUGCCUAGCAUGUGUGAGGCACUGGGUUUGAUUCUCAGCACCA